rnacentral:lncRNA from 1 species
GAGCAGCAUCAACCAUCAAUCCAUUGUAAAUCAAUCCAAAUAAACAAUCGAGCAACAUCAAUCAAUGAUGUAUUGCAAAACAAUUGCAAUCGACCAAUUUAACAGGGGAAGAAGAGAAAUUAAUAGGGGAAGAAGAGAAGGUCACAGAAACGAGAGAACUUACCUGGAAAAUAAUCGACGACGAGGUACUGAAAAUUGACGCAGCAGCAAUCUAGGUUUUCCUAUUGUUCAAUCCAUAUAAAAUUGAGCACCAUCAAUCAAGAAUGUAUUGCAAAACGAUUGCAAGAAAUCAGUUUAACAGGGGAAGAAGAGAAAUUAACAUGGGAAGAAGAGAAGGUCAUAGGAACGAGAGAACUUACCUGGAAAAAAAUCGACGACGAGGUACUGGAAAUUGAUGCAGCAGCAAUUUAGGUUUUCCUAUUCAAUUGACGGUAUCUGUUUC